UACAGAGGGUGCGAGCGUUAAUCGGAAUUACUGGGCGUAAAGCGCACGUAGGCGGCUUUGCAAGUCGGGUGUGAAAGCCCCGGGCUCAACCUGGGAAUUGCAUUCGAGACUGAAUAGCUAGGGUACGGUAGAGGGAAGCGGAAUUUCCGGUGUAGCGGUGAAAUGCGUAGAUAUCGUAAGGAAGACCAGUGGCGAAGGCGGGUCUCUGGACAGUUCCUGACGCUGAGGCA
rnacentral:rRNA from 1 species